rnacentral:lncRNA from 1 species
AUGGGUCAGGAGUCUCUGGACAACACAGGACAGGGAACCUAUACAGACAUAAGCUGGAAUGUGAGGAGGGAGUCAGACCCCUUCAAUGUAAUCAAUAGCUCAGCGCACCAGUCAGCACCACCUCAACACUCAGUGCACCAGUCAACACCACCACCACCUCAACACUUGAGUCCAGUGUUUGACAUUAAUAUGGGCUUCCCCUAUUCACAUGCCAGCGGUGGUGGAGAGCCUGGAGGUCACCUCCUCUUCAAGCCAACCUUCAGAGUUGGCCAUGAAACAGGGCCAAUUCCUUGCACACCGGCUCAGCUACAUGGCCUAUUGCUUUUGGAAAACCUAAAGCAGCAGGUUGCCCAACUCGCCACCACCGUGAACCUGCUCAUGGCCAAGGUCAAUAACAGCCUCCAACCAGCAGCCUUUGAGUGGUCCGGGGAAUUUCAAUUCCCCCUGGAAUCAGAUGCAGAGCUGGACCGCUUUGAGGCCUGGCUGGCGGACCCUGCCAACGAUAGGCAGAAACAUGCCCUUGUAAGCAUAUUCCCCCAAUAUGUUCUCAUUGUACUCAAGACACUUGUUUCAUCUUACACUAAAUCUAAUUAA